CCUACGGGACGCAGCAGUGAGGAAUAUUGGUCAAUGGACGAGAGUCUGAACCAGCCAAGUAGCGUGAAGGAUGACUGCCCUCUUGGUUGUACACUUCUUUUAUAAAGUAGUAAAACGAGGCACGUGUGCCUUUUUGCAUGUACUUUAUGAAUAAGGAUCGGCUAACUCCGUGUCAGCAGCCGCGGUAAUACGGAGGAUCCGAGCGUUAUACGGAUUUAUUGGGUUGAAAGGGAGCGUAGUGGGGUUGUGAAGUCAGUUGUGAAAGUGUGCGGCUCAACCGUAAAAUCGCAAUUGAUACUGGCAGUCUUGAGUACAGUGGAGGUAGGCGGAAUUCGUGGUGUAGCGGUGAAAUGCUAAGAUAUCACGAAGAACCCCGAUUGCGAAGGCAGCUUACUAAUCUGUGACUGACAGUGAUGCUCGAAAGCGUGGGUAUCAAACAGGAUUAGAUACCCUUGUAGUC
rnacentral:rRNA from 1 species